rnacentral:rRNA from 1 species
UGGGGAAUAUUGGACAAUGGGCGCAAGCCUGAUCCAGCCAUGCCGCGUGAGUGAUGAAGGCCCUAGGGUUGUAAAGCUCUUUCACCGGUGAAGAUAAUGACGGUAACCGGAGAAGAAGCCCCGGCUAACUUCGUGCCAGCAGCCGCGGUAAUACGAAGGGGGCUAGCGUUGUUCGGAUUUACUGGGCGUAAAGCGCACGUAGGCGGACUUUUAAGUCAGGGGUGGAAUCCCGGGGCUCAACCCCGGAACUGCCUUUGAUACUGGAAGUCUUGAGUAUGGUAGAGGUGAGUGGAAUUCCGAGUGUAGAGGUGAAAUUCGUAGAUAUUCGGAGGAACACCAGUGGCGAAGGCGGCUCACUGGACCAUUACUGACGCUGAGGUGCGAAAGCGUGGGGAGCAAACAGG